rnacentral:misc_RNA from 1 species
GUACGACAUGCGUUACGCGCAAGAGACAUUCGACGAGUGGGGUUUGUGUUUCUUCCGCGGGAGACCCAGGAGGUCCCCACGAUGAGGUUCACGGGGUACGUGGGCGGGGCGGGCGUGCACGCGCCUCGGGCGAGAGGCGCAGCGACAGCCCUUUUUCUCGUUCGGUUCGCUAAUGAUCCUUCCGCAGGUUCACCUACGGAAA